GAAAUGCGAUAAGUAAUGUGAAUUGCAGAAUUCAGUGAAUCAUCGAAUCUUUGAACGCACAUUGCGCCCGUCAGCAUUCUGGCGGGCAUGCCUGUUCGAGCGUCAUUUCAACCCUCAGGACCCCCCUUUCGCGGGGAGGGACCUGGCGUUGGGGAUCGGCCCGCCCCCGCGGCGGCGCCGUCCCCGAAAUCUAGUGGCGGUCUCGCUGCAGCCUCCCCUGCGUAGUAGUUACAACCUCGCAUCGGAGCGCGGCGCGGCCACGCCGUAAAACCCCCGACUUUCUGAACAUUGACCUCGGAUCAGGUAGGAAUACCCGCUGAACUUAAGC
rnacentral:misc_RNA from 1 species